CACUGACGUCAUAAAGAACAGCGACGCCGCGCCAAUACAAACAGACUGGGAGGAGACGUCCAAGAUCAAACAUGCAGUCUCCAGCAGUCACGGGGCCUGUUGGCACCAUGGCGGGGAAGCAUGUUCAUCACGACUGGAUGUUAGAUCCGAAAAGACACCCACGGCGCAUGUUCAGACAUACAAUGUCCCACGUCAAAGAUCUGUCGACUGAUGAGCCGGUUAUGUACAAGACAUACUGCAGGAUGUGUGAAAUGAAACAGCCCCGCAAAAUCAAGGUCACCAGUCCACCAGUGCCUAAAGAGAAGGUCGAAUUUAAGCUGCCCGCCGCCCCUAAGCUCCCUGCUGCUCCCCAUCACGAUCACCUAAGGUGCCAGUGCUACCAGAAGUCUCUCAAGGUUCUCCGGGACAUCCAGCACUCAACCACGCCCCUUGGUCGGGACAGAUUCAGCUACAUGCCGGACAAACUGAUGAACAACGUGUGGGCCAGCUACGUGAUGAACGAGCAGACACAGCUUCCACUGUCCACCUUGGUGGUGCGCUGGCAACUACGGCGCUACAUCCCCAGCUACGACAUGCGCGAGCUCCACACCAUCCUGUCCUGCUUCGGCAGCAUCACCAGCAUCUAUCAACAGAGUCCCAACAGCGCCAUGGUCAUCUUCGACGACAUCUCCUCGGCGUGCCGGGUGAUGCAGACGAAACAAUUGGGGCAGCUCCGGAACAAGAUCCACUGCAGCUGGUGGCACCGUCUCAUGACCAACAAGAGCUUCUACACCGGGAAGAAGGGCGUCAGGGUUAAAAUGGACAGAUUUCUGAAACUGCUGAAUUAGUGUUUUUCCUGUAUGAUAUGUCGUUUUGUUGGAUACAGAUAUAUAAACUAUUCUUGGCUGGGCAUUGGCACACCGAUGAACGCAUUAUAUAAGUAGGAUGGUGGCAUAGCCCAGUGGUUAAUAUGUUGGUUCGUCACGCAGAAGACCUGGGUUGGAUUCCCCGCAUGUAUAUAGUGUGCGAUUCCCAUUUCCACCAUAAUAUUGCUGAAAUAUUGCUGAAAACCCAUGCCCACUAACUUGCUCUUUAUUCAUGUUACUUAAGUCUGUGUUACAAAGGCAAACUGUAGCGCAAAAUAGGGUUGCGCAACACAGAGAAAAUGACCAGUCUUCCUAUAUGCGAGCUACAUAGGAAGACUGGUAAUUUUCCCCUCUGUUGCGCAACCCUAUUUGCGCCACAGUUUGCCCGUGGUCACAGUAAAACAGUUAUGAUGGUAUUCCUGCUACAAUGUUUUGUGGAACAUGACUCUGGUUUUAACUUUCUAGUCAUCCGUUGGGCGGUUGUGUAAGUUGAUGUAAUCUCAUUAAAAUUAAGACUUGUUUUCUAUACAACACAUCUGUCCCUUUAAGGACUAAAGAUCUGACCUUGGUGAGUCAGUGUAUCCAUUAACACGAAAAGAAACAAUGCUGUUGAAAGUACGAUUUCCUUACAUGUUUAUGUUUUCCUGAUUAAUUGUAUUGGCUAUAUGUUUAUACUGAUGGUCGGAACUCUCCGGCUUUGCACUAUGUGUGCGUUUUAACGAUAAAUGUUUUGCUUCCAUUAGCAAGCACAUCUUCACUUCUGGCUUUUCCUAGCAUAGUUUAUACCAUUGGUGGUACCUAUAUCUCCAAUGAUCAUCUGACGACAGCUUUUGAAAUCGUGUCUUGAAUCGUUACUGUAGUGGGAUUGCAAUUUACUGUUGUGACAACUGGGUUAUAUUUUACCAAGGUACGGUAGUGGUAUUAUAUACUAACGUAUUUUGAUAGUAGGGUUGUAAUGUACCAUGUUGCUUUAGUAGAGUUGUAAUUUACCACGUUCAGGUAGUACGGUUGUAAUGUAUCUUGACACGGUUAUGGGUAGAAUUUAAAAAGUUAUAAUAGCGGAUUUGUAAUUUACCGUUUUUGGUAGUUUGGUUGAAAUUUACCAUGUUACGGUAGUAAAAUUGUAAUUUAUUACGGUACGUUACUAGGGUUGUAAUAUAUCACUAUUCUGUAACGGGGAAGUAUGUUGCACAGUUAUGAAUUUGGAUUUGUAAUUUAUCAUGUUACUGUAUUAUAGGUUUGUAUUUCACGAUGGGACGCUAGUUCGGUUGUAAUUGAACAUGUUACGGUAGUAGGGGUGACAUUUACUAAGUCAUGGUAAUGACGUUAUGGUUUACGAUGUUCUUUUCUUUGGGACAUUAUUAGGCGUUAUUCUUCAACAACGCAAUAUUUUUUAACUGAUUUGGAAAGAUUUGAUCAUUGGAGAUAUAGAACCAUCAUAUGCAGAAUCGUUAAAACAUUGGAGGUGACCAGAAAGGAAGUUUGCAAUUAUUUGCGUAAUAUGCCGUUUGGAAGAAGAAAAAACUCUGUCCUGGGCCCCGUUCCUCAAGGCAAUCGUAGCGCUAUACGACUGUCGUAAGUCAAUGUUAAAGUAUGGGAGUUACGAUCAUCUUAGCGCUACGAUCCCUUUGUGGAACGGGGCCCUGGGUCCAGUUUCACUAACGAAUCACAACACUACGACAGUAGUAACUCGUAUAGUUUAACAUAGACUUGCGAGAGUCGUAGCGCUACGAUCGCUUUGUGGAAUGGGACCCAGAUUUGCUAGUUAGGGUUUGGUGUUUAUGUCAUAUUUUAACAUAGGCCUUCAAGAUAAUGAUAAAAUAUAGAAGACCAUAGGCAAUUUUAAUGAAUCGACGGUUUUUAAUGAAUAUCUUUUUCAUUAUUUCGUGUUUCUUCACAUGUUCAUCACGUUUACGAAUAUAUUCGACACAUCCCUAGAAUAUACAUAAGUAACGAUUUUGGUAGUGUUGCCAUGUUUUUCAGCAACUAUGAAAACGCACGUUUGUUUUAUUGCAGGUUCUGUUAGCCCAUUGUGUUACUACUAUUCCAUUGUGUAAAUCAGGGUAAGAAGAAUUACAUAAUAAAAUGAUAAAUGGA
rnacentral:misc_RNA from 1 species